GAUGAAGAACGUAGCGAAAUGCGAUAAUUAAUGUGAAUUGCAUAAUUCCGUGAAUCAUCGAGUCUUUGAACGCACAUUGCGCCUCAUGGCAUUCCGUGAGGCAUGCCCAUCUCAGCGUUAGAAAAUAUUCUCAAAUUUUAGUUUUGUGCUAAAAUUUGGAUCAUGUCAAAGAAGCUAUUACUAUUAUUGUGAUCGCUCUUUGGAAAUUGAUAGGUCUUUGAGUUGCUACUCAUAGAACGUGAUGAAUCUUUCUUCGUUCUAUUGUAAUUCACUCUGGUAGUCCUAAAACUUGUAUGCCUGUGGCAUAUCUUGUAAUUUGACCUGAGAUUGGGUAGGGAUACCCGCUGAACUUAAGCAUAUCAAUAAGCGGAGGA
rnacentral:misc_RNA from 1 species